UACGUAGGGGGCAAGCGUUGUCCGGAUUUAUUGGGCGUAAAGCGCUCGCAGGUGGUUCGUCGCGUCGUGCGUGAAAGACCCCGGCUCAACUGGGGGGUGUCGUGCGAUACGGGCGGACUGGAGGCCAGUAGGGGGAUGCGGAAUUCCGGGUGUAGUGGUGGAAUGCGUAGAGAUCCGGAGGAACACCGAUGGCGAAGGCAGCCCCCUGGGUCAAGAUUGACGCUCAUGCACGAAAGGCGUGGGGAGCAAACGAGGAUUAGAGUACCCCGG
rnacentral:rRNA from 1 species